rnacentral:rRNA from 1 species
GACGAACGCUGGCGGCGUGCUUAACACAUGCAAGUCGAACGGAAAGGCCCUGCUUUUGUGGGGUGCUCGAGUGGCGAACGGGUGAGUAACACGUGAGUAACCUGCCCUUGACUUUGGGAUAACUUCAGGAAACUGGGGCUAAUACCGGAUAGGAGCUCCUGCUGCAUGGUGGGGGUUGGAAAGUUUCGGCGGUUGGGGAUGGACUCGCGGCUUAUCAGCUUGUUGGUGGGGUAGUGGCUUACCAAGGCUUUGACGGGUAGCCGGCCUGAGAGGGUGACCGGCCACAUUGGGACUGAGAUGCGGCCGAGACUCCUACGGGAGGCAGCAGUGGGGAAUAUUGCACAAUGGGCGGGAGCCUGAUGCAGCAACGCCGCGUGCGGGAUGACGGCCUUCGGGUUGUAAACCGCUUUCGCCUGUGACGAAGCGUGAGUGACGGUAAUGGGUAAAGAAGCACCGGCUAACUACG